CUUUAAUUAAACAUGUUCUUUCCUGGAGAAAUUGCACUUGAUACAAAAAACAGCUCUAGGGUACAAAGAGACAUAUGACUUCCUCUUGCAGCUCCACUGACUUCGCAAGUAUAAAACUCACUCAUUGCCCUUAACAAAGAAGUUCUUCUGUAUGAAGCUUAGACAUGACAAGAUAAAGGAGCUAUGGUUGAUUCAUCAGGGUGCUGGAUCAAAGGGGGAAAACAUGAGUGCAUAAUGGCUCCAAUCCCUGCAACAUCCUUACCAUCAUCUGAGUGUGAAUGAUCGUCACAGACAUCCAUAAAAGACAAUCACAAAGGACAAAAAGACUCACCCUCUUAGCAACUCUUAACCCCUAUCAGUGACGUCAUUUCACAGUGAUGAAAAAUGCAUUUCUAUGAAUAAAAUACAUCUGAAAAACAGCAGAGGUCACAGAUUGUGCUGCUGCAAGAAAAGGGCACGAUCCAGGUGGUCAAAAACAUGAGAAUGUUUUAUAUUAAGCGCUUCAAACAAACUCAUAAGUGUAUUAACGUGGCAUGUUGUGUCAGAUGCUGAGACAGAUGCGUGUGCUGUUUAAUGUGUUCCAUGCAUGUUUUCUUAAGUGCAAAAAUUACAUUUUUACAUUUAUAUCCUUAUCUGUAAAUGUUAGAAAUUCAUGCCAGUAUUUCCAUUUUACAUAAAGGAUCGUCCUGACAGGGGACAAUCUCCAUUAAACUUCACUGAAUGAGAGCAAGUCUGCGCAU